UACGGGGGGGGCAAGCGUUGUUCGGAAUUACUGGGCGUAAAGGGCUCGUAGGCGGCCAACUAAGUCCGACGUGAAAUCCCCAGGCUUAACCUGGGAACUGCGUCGGAUACUGGUUGGCUUGAAUCCGGGAGAGGGAUGCGGAAUUCCAGGUGUAGCGGUGAAAUGCGUAGAUAUCUGGAGGAACACCGGUGGCGAAGGCGGCAUCCUGGACCGGCAUUGACGCUGAGACGCGAAAGCGUGGGGAGCAAACAGG
rnacentral:rRNA from 1 species